GACAGAGGGUGCAAACGUUGUUCGGAAUUACUGGGCGUAAAGCGUGUGUAGGCGGCCAAGCAAGUCGGAUGUGAAAGCCCCAGGUUUAACUUGGGAAGUGUAUUUGAUAUUGUUUGGUUUGAGUAUCGGAGAGGUUGGUGGAAUUCUCGGUGUAGAGGUGAAAUUCGUAGAUAUCGAGAGGAACACCGGUGGCGAAGGCGGCCAACUGGACGAAUACUGACGCUGAGACACGAAAGCGUGGGGAGCAAACAGG
rnacentral:rRNA from 1 species